rnacentral:rRNA from 1 species
GACGUAGGGGGCGAGCGUUGUCCGGAUUUAUUGGGCGUAAAGCGUGCGUAGGCGGCUGCGCAAGUCGGGUGUGAAACCCCGGGGCUCAACCCCGGAACUGCAUCCGAUACUGCGUGGCUAGAGGUAGGUAGGGGAGCGCGGAAUUCCCGGUGUAGCGGUGAAAUGCGUAGAGAUCGGGAGGAAGGCCGGUGGCGAAGGCGGCGCUCUGGAACAUUUCUGACGCUGAGGCUCGAAAGCGUGGGGAGCAAACAGG